GAGGUUAUAGCUCAGUGGUAGAGCACAUACUUAGCAUGUAUGAGGUGCUGGGUUCAAUCCCCAGGUAAAUCU
rnacentral:tRNA from 1 species